GUGCCAGCCGCCGCGGUAAUACGUAGGUUCCGAGCGUUGUCCGGAUUUAUUGGGCGUAAAGCGAGCGCAGGCGGUUAGAUAAGUCUGAAGUUAAAGGCUGUGGCUUAACCAUAGUACGCUUUGGAAACUGUUUAACUUGAGUGCAAGAGGGGAGAGUGGAAUUCCAUGUGUAGCGGUGAAAUGCGUAGAUAUAUGGAGGAACACCGGUGGCGAAAGCGGCUCUCUGGCUUGUAACUGACGCUGAGGCUCGAAAGCGUGGGGAGCAAACAGGAUUAGAUA
rnacentral:rRNA from 1 species